rnacentral:lncRNA from 1 species
AUUUUAGUACUGGGACCUGCCUCAAUGAGGAAGAAAAUUAAAAUGACUUCUGCAGUCAACUUGCUAAGCUAUCAUCCAUUGCUUCUGAGAUGCAGAGACCUUCUGUGGACAUCAACCCGCCUGGGCAUAUAGGACUGGAUUCAUCUUUUCCCAUUGAGGCUAGACAAGACAUUUCAGAAUCUGACGUAGUAAAAGUAAGAGCGGGAGACUGCAAUCAAUCGUUUCCUAACUUCGAUGAACUCAGAAGCGGAUAGCUUCCACAAAAUGCGAAAGAAAAGACAGAUUUUACAGUUCCCAUCAGACUGUGUAACUCCCCUGACAAACUGUCCCAAUGGCUUUGCACUGCUCUGAGAGAUAAAUAAUAAAUACCCACCAUUGCUA